rnacentral:lncRNA from 1 species
CGAACAACCACUCGGAUGAUAAGUGUAGUGAUGAUUUAUUGCACUUUACUGAGACUACGAACCUCCAAAAACAAAGAAAAGAAGAUGAUGAGGGAUGAAAGCUAGUUAGUUUCCCGUCCAGACAUCAGCAUCGUUUAACCGACAAAGGCAAACAAAUUGUUCAAUAACCAGGUAAAAACCCUUCUGGGCCAAUUCGGGUCAAUGAGGGAAAGGACAACUUGCA